GGGAAGGAAAGCAGACGGUGGAGGAAGAGGAGGGGAAGCAGCCGUCUGUGAGGAAGAGGAGGGGACGCGGUGGAAAGGAGGACUUCCUUGUUGGUAAACCUCAGGAUUCUGUUUUGAGAGACAAGAGAUACCAGACCAAAAGAGAGACAGACAGAUUGAACGAAAGACAGAUAGAAAGAGAGACAGACCAAGAGACAAGAAGACAGACAGAUAGAGAUGAAGACAGAUACACAGAGAGAUGGACAGGUAGGGAGACAUGCAGCAAAACAAGCAGACAGACAGAAAGAGAGACGAGCAGAGAGACAUACCGAUACACAGAUAGUGAGACAGAUUGCUCCCUCUUGACCGCUGAAUGGGAGCUGAGUUUGGUCCAAUCAGGGAGCCUUCCUCGGUCAGCUGUCACCACGUCCUCCAGUCAGAGAAGCUAUCCUCGGUCAGCUUUCACCAACACCUCUAAUCAGAGAAGCUUGCGGCAGGCGGCUGCCUUCUGUGGAGGGGCGGGGCCAAACGGGAGCGCUGGGAGCAUGCCCUCCUCUGCUGUCAUGGUAACCAAGGAGCAGCUGAUGCUGGACCUGGUCCAAUCAGAGCCUCCUGAGAGGAACGUGGUUUCCGCUGCGGUAGUGCGUCUGGACCAACAGAGGGCAGCACAGCGAGUCGGGAAGCACCGGCAGGAGGUCGAAAAGAAGAGACGGGAGAAAGAGGAGGAGAAGAGGAGACAGCAAGAGAAGGAGGAGAGAGAUGAGGAGGA